UCGGAGGUUCUACGAGAACAGAUCCGAGAAGUCCAGAAGCUUGCCAAGCGAAGCUCGUCGGAACUUGCCAAAUGGAUCGUCGCAAAGUCCAGGAGUUUGCCGGAAGUCCGCAGGAGCAUCACCGAGGGUUCAUCGGAUGAUCGACGGAAGUUCGCCGGAAACUCGCCGGAAGGAGCGAUUGACGCACCGAAGCAAAGCUGCAGAAGUUGUCUUAGAUUUAAUCAUAGUUAGCACAUUGAUUAAGUUGGAAAAUGGGAGGUGAUCCCAUUGGCUUAAUCUUGGGGCAAUUGGGC
rnacentral:lncRNA from 1 species